UUCGGUUUAAGAGGCCAGUUUUGAUGGCCUCAUAAUUCUAAACUUUUAAAUUGUUUUAAAAAAUGCUUCAAAUGAUAUUUAUUGAAUAUAAAUACAUGAAUGAUGGUUGCAUAAAUAGCUUUAAUAGUUUAUAUUGUUAUUUGACUAUGAUAACAUUCACCUUGCUUUUUAUGACCUUUCCAUAUAUGGUCCUUUAAACCAUGAUUUGUGUGUGAGAAAUUUGAACAGCGCCUCUGUAGGCGGGAAGUGGUACUGCAAUGCAUACACACUCGCGCCAUAUUACACACAAUUCCCCGCCAUCUCAUGCAAUUGCGGGAAAACGUCACUAGCAUUGAAGAUCAUGGAGCGUGUUGGCGCGUUUGGGAGCAGUUAGUGCGGAGCUGCAAUAAAAAAUGAAUUUGGUGAGGAGUCGAAGCAGAGGAUUCAGUCCUCUUAAAGACGCUGAGCAUCAUGGGAGGCUGGGCAAAGACGUGGAAAAACUCACGUGGAGAUUUAUCAGUCACACCAAAGGGCGAGGUGUGUUUGCAAAAGGCCCUUUUUUUAAAGGGUCAUUUAUUGUAGAAUAUAGAGGAAUCUUAAGCAAAAAUGUUGAACCAUCCAAUGAAUACACCUACAUUUUUAUGCACAAAGGAAAUGAAUACUGUUGGUUUUUAUGACCUCUGUAGCAUUGAUGCUUCAAGGGAGGAUGGAUCACUUGGGAGACUAAUUAACGAUGACCCGAAACCCAAUGCAAA